UAUCUCCCCGAACACUGUUUUCCUUGUGCACGCAUCUCCUCCGUAACCGUAAAAGAAAGCGACAAAUUUAUUUUACCAAAUUGCUCGUUAUAUCCUCAGGAUGUUUUGUCCAAUUUUGACUGAAACGAUACGUAAACUCCAUAUGAGAGUUUUUUCCCCUUCUGUAUUUGACAUAAGGGAUAUAUAAAUGUAUAGCAUGAAUGGUAAGUGAUAGAGACCUAAGGUAUAUUGAUUUGAGUUCCUUGGUUCAUUUAAAUGAAAUUGAGGCCAAGGUCAAAGGUCAAGGUCAUAUUCAAAAUUUUGACUUUUCCUUGUUAUUUGAUCUCCUCUGUCACUUUUAAAAUUACAAAUUAAAGAACUAGUGCAAAAUGUUUGCUUAAUUGUGAUUAAGAUAUGAUACAUUUGGUCUGAAACAAUCCAAUGAUAUCUUAUAGGAGUUAUUGUCCCUGAAAUGAUUCAAUUUAAGGUUAAUUGAUUAUUACUCCAACUUGGUACAUGAUAAAGCCAUAGGGUUU